rnacentral:lncRNA from 1 species
CAUCAAUAUAUCUGGUCACUGAAGGUGCAGGGAGUCAACAUCAAUAUAUCUGGUCACUGAAGGUGCAGGGAGUCAACAUCAAUAUAUCUGGUCACUGAAGAUACAGGGAGUCAACAUCAAUAUAUCUGGUCACUGAAGGUACAGGGAGUCAACAUCAAUAUAUCUGGUCACUGAAGGUACAGGGAGUCAACAUCAAUAUAUCUGGUCACUGAAGGUGCAGGGAGUCAACAUCAAUAUAUCUGGUCAGAUGUUGCUUAACAGAUAUUUAUACUGAUGUUUUUUCCUGUGUGUGUUGUAACAGACCUCCUUCCCGUGCUAAAGAAGCGUGUGUGUGUGUGUGUGUGUGUGUUGUAACAGACCUCCUUCCCGUGCUAAAGAAGUGUGUGUGUGUGUGUGUGUGUGUGUUGUAACAGACCUCCUUCCCGUGCUAAAGAAGCGUGUGUGUGUGUGUUGUAACAGACCUCUUUCCUGUGCUAAAGAAGCGUGUGUGUGUGUGUGUUGUAACAGACCUCCUUCCUGUGCUAAAGAAGUAAGCGUGUGUGUGUUGUAACAGACCUCCUUCCCGUGCUAAAGAAGCGUGUGUGUGUGUGUGUGUGUGUUGUAACAGACCUCCUUCCCGUGCUAAAGAAGCGUGUGUGUGUGUGUUGUAACAGACCUCCUUCCCGUGCUAAAGAAGCGUGUGUGUGAUGUGCGUUGGGAG